GGGACCAGACCGCGUGGGGCCGGGUCCUACUGGGGUCCUACUGGACCAGACCGCUUGGGGCGGGGUCCUACUGGGGUCCUACUGGACCAGACCGGGUCCUACUGGACCAGACCGGGGUCCUACUGGACCAGACCGGGGUCCUACUGGACCACACAGCCUUACGUUGACAUUGAGAGCGUUGACACUCUUUCAUCCAAAGCGACUCACAAUAGAACAUUUGUCAGAAGAAAGAGAAACAACAGUAUAUCUGUCGGUAUAGUAAGGGUGUUCAUAGAACCGAGUGCCAAUCACUAGGGUAACCCAUUCACGUGCACAACAAGGAUAGUUAUGGUAAGAUGCUCCACGAUGCUAAGUACUAUUUUUAAGUGCAAGGACGUACAGCAUACAAUAAAUAAGUGCGUACAUUAAGUGUACAUUAAGUACACUUCCGCUGGAGACGUCGUUGGGUUUGUCUUCGGCAGAGCGUGUAUUUCGGUUUAGCUAAAGUAAAUAACUAAAGUGUGUUUAGAGGACGACGGUGACCUUUACUGUGUUUGUUUGUAGACGAUGAUGAGGCCGGUCCCACGGGGGACGGGGACGACGACGAUGAUGACGAUGAUGAGGAUGACGAGGGGUCAGACGGCGACGACGUCGGCCUGUCUUACCUGAUGAAGGACGGCAUUCAGGACGAAGAGGACGAUGACGACUACGUUGAGGAGGAUGAUGAUGAUGAGGAUGGAGCAGCAGCUGCAGCGGGGGUGCCGGCGGGGGAGAAGAGGAAGAGGGCCCCCGAGGACGAGGGCGAGGAUGACGACGACGAUGACGACGAUGACGAAUAGAUCCAGCAGGGGGCGCUGCUGGUCCUAUAAUUAUCUAGAUGUUACCAUAGAAACUGACCAGGGUUUUCCCACAACGUUUGUCUACAACAUGUUGUUUUUUUUAAUCAUUUGUGUGUGUGUGUGUGUGCGUGUGUGUGUGAGUGUGUGUGGGCGUGUUUGUGUGCGUGCGUGUGGAGCUACAGACACUGGGGGUUCUGAAACUGGAACUUUUACGCCACGUUUACACCGGUGCAACCAGUCAGGACACCGGUGGAACCCAAUCUCUUACUGGUUUACAAGAAAAAUCACAUCCUUCAGGUGACCCAGAUACUUCAAACCGGAGGCACAGAUUCACGUCUGAUUGGACCGUAAAACGUUCUCCAUCCCACCUAGGCCUGUCAAUCUGUCCGACUCUGAGUUCCUCGGCCGAACCCGCCCCCCACGGCGGGCAGAUUUCCGUUCAGAGUUCAGCAUUAACCCAAUCGCCUCCGACUCGUCCCUCCCUGUCCUCCACGUUUUGGGUCCCAGCCCCGUCUAGCUCGCGUUGAGUUCCAGCCCCCCUCCGUGCCCUCCACCGUUCAGGUUCCAGAUACUUCCACCGCUUCAUAGACGACCUGUAAAUAGAGUUCUCUCCUUGUCAGUUAUUCUUGAUUUGCUCCCGUGUGUUUCCUGCCUCCUUUACACCGGGCCGUGGGCUAACGGAAACUUAGUCUUUCAAAGGGUUCUUUUAUUUUUUUAUUUUCUUGCCUUCAGAUCAUGUCAUGUCUGAGGUUUGUGUGUUGUAACCUUCUGGCAAGUGUUUUGGAAUAAAAAUCUAAAUGUUCGUCUUUGUUUGGUAUCGUAAAUGGGUGGCUUUUGGCAUCUUGUAUCUAAAAUGCUGGCCUGUUGCUGAAAAUUAUGUGUAUCCAAGUUCACUAAAAGUUGCUUUGGAUAGAAGCAUAUUCUAAAUUUAUUAUUAACAAUCAAGUGUGGUUUUAUCAAUAGCUAAAGAUUUAAGGCAAACCAAAGUAGAUAAGAGUCUGAGAAGUUUUCUUUCCUCAGCCGGUAUUUAAUCCGGUUGUGAGCUACUUAGGAUGUUAAGAUGACCAAUUUCCAGAGUGACCGCUAGGCGGCAGUGUAGACACGUACUUUUCGGGUAUAAAACAAUGGAACGGAGUUAUUAAUUAUUAUGAGGUUCCCACGGCAGGUACUUAUGAGGCAUUUAAGUUUGAGUUUUUGUCAAAGAUCCUUAUAACAUUUUAUGAUAUUUUGUUUUUGCUAUUAUUCCUGAUGUAUCGUCCCUGAGUUGUUUCUCGGAAAUCCUACCGAUCCUGGUUCUCUCUAUUAUAAAAUGGAUUUAAAAAAACGUUAAACUGUUUUAAUGAACAGGUCCCCCCACGGAGGUGUGCGCUUGUGAGCAAGAGGGAAAGAGGUGUGUGCAAGAAAACAAACGUCCAAUCGUACAGGCAGACCAACAUUUUCCAACAGAACGUGUGCAGUGUAUCUGCAGGCCUCCUACGAACAGUAGCCUAUGUCUUAUUUGCAUUAAUUGCAUUAAAUAUGAUGACUCUUGGAUGGAAGCAUCUACUCAAUUAUAGUUCGACAGAGAAGCCGGAUCGUACAGGCCUUUGACCAUCACUUCCUCUUCUCACUGUCUUCUUUGUCUUCGUAUAUAUAUAUAUCUGACUCGCUCCCUCCCCCUUCGCUGAUGCAGUAAUCCGCUCGUCUUGCAUACCAUAUAUGGAUGCACAUGGCCCUUGAGGGGCGUGGCUUAACACGCACGCGCGCGCGCGCACACACACACACACACACACACACACACACACUCAAUUAUAGACCUUUGUUGUGGGGCAUCUGGUUAUGUCUGUCAGUUGUGUUAUCUUCUAUCGGUCUAUAUAUGUUUACUAUAUUGUCUGUCUGUUUAUACCGUAUGUGUGUCGAUGUGGUGAAGUCUAUUGCCUUCACCACAGUAUAAAGGCUCCUAUAUAAAGCUGUUGCAACCGUACACAUCAAUCUCAUCAGGACAGAAAUCUCCCACAGACUCCAGCGGGAACAGAAGGACAAGCUGAAUAGAUAACUAAAGGGAGCAUAUCCUAGACUGUAUAUGCUGAAUGCAAUGGCUGUAGUGGUAGAGUAGAGGACAGAAGAGACCCCUCGUGUAUUAAAGAGACCCCAGGUCUCUGGCAUACUCCCAGUGUCCUUGACCCCUGGGUUAUCCACUGAUGAAAUCACUCACAGCACAUUUUAAUUCAGAAACAAUCUUAAAAUGUUGCAUUUUCCACUGAGAAUUCAACGAAUGUCCUCCAUUUGCACCCACCCUUUUUCAAACUGCAUUAUUGUCUGUACAUGUCUUGUCUCCUUGUGAAACGUCAUCUUUCACUCUUGCUGUCGAAGUCCUAGGUAUUGGGGAAAGCCCCUUGAACUGCGUUUAGCUGUUACUUCGGACGGCUGCUAGGGGGCGCUGGAUCAUCCACCAGGGGUUAGGUAGUUAUAAUAAAAAAUAAAAGGGAUCCUUUAUAAAAUUUAAAUGCAG
ensembl:lncRNA